rnacentral:lncRNA from 1 species
UCAUGGAGCUUGUGGAGCUGAAACCACUGAUACAAUCAUUGGUUGGUUUGCCUGGUGUAAGUGGUCUGUCAACAGAGCAGCGUAAGAGGCUUACCAUUGCGGUUGAGCUAGUGGCUAACCCGUCCAUCAUAUUUAUGGAUGAGCCAACCUCAGGGCUAGAUGCAAGGGCGGCUGCAAUUGUUAUGAGAACUGUUAGAAAUACAGUGGACACUGGAAGGACAGUAGUGUGCACCAUUCAUCAACCAGGCAUUGACAUAUUUGAUGCUUUUGAUGAGGUAAAAAAUGUUAAUUCUUGAUCAAGGUAACGUAAAGUUCCUUUUUUUUUCUCCCCUUUUUUUCUAUGGAUUACAAUUGUUCAACAAUGCAUUGCAGUUAUUCCUAAUGAAGCGAGGGGGACAAGAAAUUUAUGUUGGGCCAUUGGGUCGCCAUUCUUGCCAACUUAUCAGCUAUUUUGAAGUAUGUGCCGAUGCACGUUAUCAUAUUACAAUGGAAAUCCAACUUGAGUAUCAUUUUGAAGUGACUUGCAUAAUUUUCAUCUUGAAACUAUCUGAUGCAUGUUUAUUCGUUUUUAUAAGGCUAUUCCUGGAGUUGAGAAAAUUAAAGAUGGUUACAAUCCGGCCACUUGGAUGUUGGAAGUAACUGCUUCAUCCCAAGAGGUAGCUUUGGGAGUUGAUUUUAAUGAUAUUUUCAGAUGCUCAGAAUUAUACAGGUACAUUCAUGAAGUACUAACACUACUAACUGCAAUCCAUUCACCUCUCUGCCAAUGCAUUUGUUUAGUUCAAAAUUUUGAAUUGGCAAUGUGUCUCAGGAGAAACAAAGCACUUAUUGAAGAAUUAAGCAAGCCUACUCCAGGUUCAAAGGACCUCUAUUUUCCUACCCAGUACUCGCAGUCAGCUUUCACUCAAUUCGUGGCUUGCUUAUGGAAACAACACUGGUCAUACUGGCGAAAUCCACAAUACACUGCUGUUAGAUUCUUUUUUACAGCCUUUAUAGCAGUGUUGCUUGGGUCAUUGUUUUGGGACAUGGGCUCUAAAACGUUAGUUACAGCCUUGGAAACUGGAACAUUAUAAAUUUAAAUAUUAUUCUUAGUCUUGUUUUCUCAUCUGCCUUUUAAUAUUAAUUUUCACUUUUUAAUUUAUAGGAGAAAGAGCCAAGAUCUGUUUAAUGCAAUGGGCUCCAUGUUUACUGCAAUUAUCUUCCUCGGCCUUCAAUAUUGUUCAUCCGUGCAGCCAGUAGUAUCUGUUGAAAGGACAGUCUUUUACAGAGAAAAAGCCGCUGGCAUGUACGCGGGCCUUCCGUGGGCAUUAGCACAAGUAAUCGUUUGACACAUGCCUAUCUGAAAUGUUAUAAGAAAUGUGUUUCAUUACUGAUAUUUAGAUUUUUCUUUUUGGCAGGCCAUGAUUGAGAUUCCUUAUAUAUUUGUUCAGUCAGUAGUGUACUGUGUUAUAGUCUAUGCUAUGAUGGGAUAUGACUGGACAGCCGAGAAGUUCUCUUGGUAUUUUUUCUUCAUGUACAUCACAUUAUUGCUCUUCACCUUCUAUGGCAUGUUGACAGUGGCUAUAACACCAAACCACCACAUUGCUGCCAUUGUUUCGACUUUAUUUUACGGGAUAUGGUACCUCUUUUGCGGAUUUGUAAUCCCAAGACCUGUAAGUACUAUUCUGCUAUUUCUAUUUCUAUUUCAUAUGCUAGAUUCUCUAGUUACAGAAUUUCUGUUACCGAUUCUUUCCUCAUCUUUCACCUUUUUCAAACCGCAGAGGAUUCCUGUAUGGUGGAGAUGGUACUAUUGGGCAAACCCUAUAGCUUGGACCCUGUAUGGAUUGAUUGCUUCACAGUUUGGGGAUGUGGAGGACCAAAUGGAAAAUGGUGAAACAGUGAAGCACUUUCUUAGAGAUUAUUUUGGUUUCAAACAUGAUUUGCUGGGAGUAGUUGCGGGUGUUCUUACGUGCUUUGUAGCCCUCUUUGGUUUUGUCUUCGCCCUAGGAAUCAAGCAGCUUAAUUUCCAGAGGCGAUAGAAAUUUAAUAGCAUCUUGAAGAUCAAGUUUGUGAUUUAGGACUUGGUAAAAGGCUUGCGGGCAAGCCUGUUUUAAGGAGUGGGGAAUAAUAUUAGGACUCUUGUAGUUUAUUUUAAUUUCUUUUCUAUUAAGAUUAGAUUUUCUUAUUGCAGUUAUAAUUAAGGGUACUAACUAAAUUAGAACUAAGAUUGUAUCGAACUACUAUAAAUAAGUAAUAAAAUUAAUUCUAACCCCAGUUAGUUUUUCUCUCUCCCCUCUAAAUAGCUUGUGUAUAUUUUCUCACACCUAUGCCAAGACAUUUUUCUUGCUGUUAUUAUAGUGGUUUUGAUUUCAAUGCAAGAAAUAAUACUGUUAAUGUCCCCCCAAGUGUGAAUCCAUAUGAAAGUUGAGUCAUGUUGCAUGAGAUACAAGAUGGAACUUGUUUAAGUUUUGAUAUGGGACACAGCUUAUGCUUUUCUUUUCUGCAUCUUAUCAUAUCUCUCUUUUUGUCUUCCUUUUUGUGGUUAAUUUUUAGGUGCUAGCUAUAUCAUACUUCUAGAAUAUGCAUAAUUGAAUAUUUGAAAUAAAGACAAAUGCGGAAAAGGGGAGAAAUGAAUAUAAUAAUAACAUUCAAAGCAAAUGUGUUGGGGUCAUUAAAGCAUACCAAAAGGUCACUACUUUUAGGCUUUAGCCCCAAUUUACUGCAAGAAGUUGGGACUUUGUAGUUUGGAAAAUCACAAUAUUGCUUUUUGAUCCAACUGUGUCUGAAUUAUCUCAGCUUUUCAUUUCUUUGAUUAAAAAAACAAAGUUUUUUUUUUUCCUACUGUAUUUGAAUUAUUCAUCUCUUUGAUUAAAAAACAAAAUAAGUGAAACAAAACGGUUUGACAUUUAAGCGCAGAACUGUUUCUGCAUUUUGUCUCUCUCUCCCUCUCCUUCAACUUUGUUGUGAGAAAAGGCUGUGGUUCAAUGAUUAGGGUGAUGAAUUUUUGUGUUAGGAAAAAUUCAAAUAACACAAAAUGGGAUGAGAAUUUCCAAACGCAAGGUAGGUGAAGGCACAGAAAGUUCAACUUUGUAACACACCUUCAUUUAAAAUGUGAGACUUAACCUAGUUGUCUGCAAAAGCACCUUAUGAAUUUAAAAGAUGGGGAAUUUUCAAAUCAGCAGCCAAAUAAAUUAACUUACUUUCAAUUUACCGAAAUGUUAACACAAUCCCAUUUAUUAUUAAGAAUACCAAAAAAUAAUAAUAAAAUAAAAAUAGAUCUUUAAGACGCCCCUCUUUAUCCUAGUCUUUUAAAUAAGAGCGUUGAUAUUUUCAAUAAGUUUAGACUUGAAUUGAUAGUUUCAAUAGGUUAAGAUUUAAUCUGAAGGGAAUGGGAUAAACUAAAAUUUACUCUCUAAAAGAUCUAUACGUACCGUUAAUGAAGAAAACAUGUAUAUUUUAUUAUAGAAAGCAUUUUUAUCAUCCAUAAGAUGGAGGGUUUGAGUUUUCUUAUAAUUAUGGGAGUAAGUGCAUGGUUGGUAUAGCUUUCAAAUGGUCAAUCCCAUAAGUUUUCUUUUUGUUAAUUUUUAAUGUUGCUUGCUUGUAUUUUGAGUAUAGCUUUUGGAGGUUAAAUAAACUAUUUUAUCUUAUAUUAGUAAAAGCUCAAAUUUUACAAUUUUAAGAGUAAAGAUUGGAUUUUUUUUUGAAUUGUCUAAAAUAUCCUUUUCUUGUCUCACAAUUUUAUUUCAUUUUUUUUUCAUAACAUAACUAUAAGAAACUUACUUUCAAAAUAAUUUUAUAAUUUUUAAUAAAAAUUUCCAUUGAUAAUCAAUAUAACUAAUUUUUUUAAAAUCUCUAUUUAUAAACAAGGUUGGACAUCAGAUUGGAUUUGGACAGAUCCAAUCUAAUCUAUACAAAUUCAUACCAAAUUCAGAUUUGGUUUCAAAUACGAUCGGAUAUAAUUUGUGUAUGUAAUUGGAUUAGAUGUGGAUCAGAUCUAAUUCGAGUCAAUUCGAAUAAUCCAAAUUGGAUUGCACUGCUACUUAAAAAAGAAAAAAAAAACAAAAUAUAAAAGCAGAAACUAAGAAAAUGAAAACCUAAUUCCAAAAUCACCAAGAUACAAGGUAGCCGCAACCCAUGACCACAAACCACACUCAUGACGUGACGCACACAGCGACCCACGCCACCAACAGUAUAAACCAAAUGAACCCCGCUACAUCUGGAUCGACGUCCAGCCACCAUGGCGUCCCCCAGACCCACUAUGUCGAAGAUAGUCAAGACACAAUGGGAAAAUCCAGCCCAGCUCUCUUCCAAUGAGAUUAUCAAUAACCAAAAGAAGAGACUGACAAUGAUUGAUGUCACCGCCUAUACUAUUGUAGAUUUCAUGAUUUUUUUGUGAAAAUUGUCUAAAAGGUCCCAAAUCUAAUUUCAAUCCAAACCGAUCUAAAUUUGAACUUAUUCGAAAUAUUCAUCUCAUUCGAAUUUGAUCUGAGCUAAUUCGGAUCGAACUGAAUUAAAUAUAAGGUUUCGAUUGAGAUCGAAUGAAUUUUUUCUCAAUCUAAAUUAUCCGAAAUCUGAUUGAAUAUCUUAUCCGAAUCCGAAAUUGUCCAACCCUAUUUGUAAAAGCUCUAUUAAAAUAAAUUUUACUUGAAAAGUUAUUUCAAACGAAUUAAAAAAUAAAUGCUUAUAUAGUAAUAAGAUAUCAAAUUUCUUCUCCUCCAUUUUCUCAUUCUUUUCUUUUGACUUUAAACAUGAAAAUAAAGAAAAUAAAAUCAUCGACAUUUUGAGCGGAUCUAAUAUAUAUAUAUAUAUAUAUUUUUUCCCCUUCCCUUCCUACUAAUGUUGAACGUGAAUUUUAUAUUUGCGGUUGUUUACCAGACCCACAAUUUAAUAUUUUCUUGAAUUUUUUUUCAAAUUGGAUUUUUUAUUUGUGAAAAUAUUAAACAUUAUACAGAUGGCGACAGAGGGCUUACCGAAUUAAAAAAUAGAGAGAAAGAACAAGAAAAGAACAUCGUUUUGCUGCUGUUUCUAUCAAUUCAGGGACCUACUGUCAUCGUAUUGUGCAAGUUGUUUAGCGUUGCUCUUAAUUUAUUUAAUGUGUAAGUUGAACCUUAUUCAUUAGUCACUGCAUGCAUUUUGAUUUUUCCAAGUUUCCAAAUUUAAGUUUUAUUAUAUAUAGGUAACUGUUCCAAUCCGGGAGUCCCGGAUUGGAACAGUUUCCGGGACAAAAAUUAGUGGCUUUUGGAUUUCAAUCCAAAGGCCACUAGUAGCUGCACAUGGUGGAAUCCAAAGGCCACCGGUGGCUGCACAUGGUGGGGUCCACCAUGUGCAGCCCACAAAUUAAAAAAAAAAAAAAAAAAAAAUUAAAAAAAAAAAAAAAAAAAAAAGAAGCCACCAGCGGCCGUUGGAUUGAAUGGCCCUGCUGGAUUUCCGAAUCCCGGAUUGGAUCACUGUCCUAUAUGUAUAUAAUUUUAAUUGGGUGAGGUAAUCAUGAGAAGUUUGAUUCAAAACAUAAAGGGGUGUGCAAAAUGAGGGUGGAUAAAAUUUUAGUGUUUAAAUAUAUACACAUAUGUAAUACAAGUAUUGGUUUAUUUUAGCAAAAUGUACAUGCUUUUAAAAUUGUCAUAUUUUUAUUAACUUUUUUAUCAUACAUGUUUUUUAAUUAAUCAUGAUAGUAUUCAUACACACGUGGUAAAAGGUAAAUGAAAAUAAUGUAAAUGCUCUUACAUUAUCCGCGACUCUCUCAAUCAUAAUCUUAAAAGUCAAACUAUUUAAACUACAUAAAAAAAUAAUCGAUUUAAUCCAUUUAUUCUAUGCACACAUUAACAAAAUUUAAAAAUUAAAAUCUCAUUUUACAAAGCUCUCAUAAUUUUCAAAUUAACCAUGAUCACAUUUUCAUUCUCCUACUUUUUGUUUCCUUUCUAACCCAUGAAAUUUUCUUGUGCAAUAUUCAAACCUUAUUCUAAUUCUUUUUCUAUCUGGCUUCACUGUCAAAAUUUUCUUCAUAGCGAAGAGACAUCAAAUUUGUCUUAACAUUUUUACCUUUUUCUUUGAUGUUGACUUUAAACUUGAAGAUAAAGAAAAUAAAAACACUUGACUUUAGAAUUGGCAUUUUUCAUUCUUUUGAUUGACCAUGCGCCUCCGUUGAACGAUCAAAUGGGUGCUACAACUUGCGAUAUCCUCAUUUUCUAUUUAUAAAUGUUCAAAUGAUAAUUAUAUCCUUGAAAAAAUAAUUAUACACAUCUUAAAUUUUUAAGAAGGGAUAUUAAGACCUCUAUUUAACUAAAAUACCUUUUGGUUUUAUAAACUCGAAAAAAUUAACUCUAAUAUUUUGUAAUAGAUAAAAAUAUAAUAUUAAAAUAAAUGUAAUAAUAUAUACAUUUUAAAAAAUACACCUAGUAGCUGCUGUACCNNNNNNNNNNNNNNNNNNNNNNNNNNNNNNNNNNNNNNNNNNNNNNNNNNNNNNNNNNNNNNNNNNNNNNNNNNNUUUAAAGCUAACUAUUUUAGCUGCUCUAUUUAAAUGGUACUACAAUAAAAAAAUGAUCCUAAUAUUCUUCUUCACUAAAAAAUGUGUUAGUUUGUUUGACUAUUCUCCGAGACAUUAGGGUAUGGUAAAUCUUUUUCUUUUUAUAAAUCAACAUUUUAAAAUAAUAAUGUAUUAAAUUAUAAUAUAUUAUUUCCCCAUCAAAAAGAAUUUUAACUAUUAAAAUUAAUAUUUUAUCGAAACUUUCAAGAGUUUUUAAUUUGGCCGGUCAUCCGAGUAGCUUUGGAAGGAAUUUAAUUUAAUUGGUCUUGCGUUUGAAUCAGGAGUAAGAGGCUUUGUCCACCGAACCGAUCUUUUUUUUUUCUUUUUUCGUUUAAAGUAAAAUAUUAAAAAAAAAAGUUUAUGUAAUGCUUCCAAAACUUAAAAAUAAAUGGAAAAAAAAUUAGAACUGAAAUUCACUUCCGAAACACAAAAAUCCAUCAGAAUAACGAAGGAUAGUGAGGGAAUUGGGUAAUGUGAUGACUAACAAGAAGCCUUUUAAAUCAAAAUUAUCCGCUAUUUUUCUCAAUACGGCGGCGGCGGAGAAGCUCAGCCUUAUGCUGUGCCGGGACGACGAGAUUUUUUUCCCUUAAUUAAUUAAUUAAAAUGAAGAAGCUUCACAAAAGAUUUGAUGCAUUUUUUAGUUCAUUUUUUUUUUAAUAAUUGAGCAAGAUGGACGGUCGUGAUGGAGGGAAUGACCAUACGGACUUGCUGACGGUCAAGAGAAGCUCACGUUCACUGAGACGGAAAAUGAAUGCUUCUGCCUUUGGUAUAUUAUAAUUCCCAUCUCUUUUGUCUAAGAUUUUGUGUGUGUGUGUGUGUGUUUUUUUUUUUAAUUUAAAUAUAUUAACACGAAUUUUUUGUCUAAGAUUAUGUCCUUUUAACUUAUGUUUAACGUUAAAUAAUUUUUUUAUAAUUUUAUAAUGUCGACCAACGAAAAUCAGGAAAGGCAUGAGCUAAUUAAUUUAGUAUUGGAUCUUUUUACUUGAAUACAGUCUUGAAAACAGUCUUGAAAAUGCCUUUUUAAUAAUUAAAUUAUUAAAUUCUUGGUUGCCUCUACAAUUAAUUUAAUAAUUAAAUUUUUCGUUUUAUUUUUAUUUUUUUUUAAAAAGUAAUUAAUGCGGGGAAAUGGCAGUAACAGAGUACGUCACUAAUUCGCUAUACGAUCCGGAUCCGGAUCCGGUGAUUGUGGUCCCCACCUCCCAUGUUUGAGGGGUCUUAAUUGGAAAAUUAAAUUGAAGGGUUAAAGUAAUCUUCAUUUCAAAAUUGGCGUGCUUUGACUUUCUCCACGUCAAGCGUUGAUUGUUGUUUGUGUCCAGCCAUUUGUCUCAGUCAGUUGUCUUGUGGGUAAUGUCCAAGUACGUGACAUUAGUGUUACUUAUUCUAAAAGGCCAAAACUACGUUGCCACACGGGUUUCGUACCCCACUUUUUUGUCUUUUUCUAAGUCAAUUACAGUGAAAUCCAUUUAUUUGUUAAAAAAUUUAAAAAAACUAAAGACUUUUAUUUUUUCACACAUUAGUCCUACACCUAAAAAUUUUCAGGUUCUGUGAUACUUCUAGAAGUCAUAAUCUAUUUUAGAAACACCUUUCGAUUUGAAGAUGCCAAACAUGAACACAAUACUCCGACAUCGCAGACUUGUGCAAUUUGGACAAUAUAAGUUUUUUUUUUUUUUUGUAUUGCAAUAUAUGUAGAGAAGAGAAUGCAUAAUUUGCCAGAAUAAGAAAUCCAUUUCACUACCAAACUAAAAACUAAAAAAAUAAAAAAAUUAGUCAUGGGCUCAUGGCCAUGGUCCUAUUUUCCAACACUUAGCCAUUCAGAUAUAUAUAUAUAUAUAUAUGAGUGGUAAAUUUGAUACAAUUAUUAUUUAAUUGGUCAUAUCCUUGUCAAUUAGGGAUGUGUGCUAAUGGCUAUUUAAAAUAUUGGGGUGAAAUAACAAAAGUCAAUUUAUUUAAGUGUGCAAUUAAAUUUAGUCUUUUUAUUUAAGAACAAAAACUCAACCAAAAAUACAAAAUUCUUGUUCAAAUGAGCAAAAAUGAUUUUAUGAAUUGAUAAACUAACACUUUAUUAUCAUUAGUAAAUUAAUAAAUUUUUUCUACAUAAUCAAAUAAUUGAUAGUAUGCUAAAUAAAUAUUAUAUUACAAUAAAAUAAUAAAACAUUAAUUAUAUAUAAUAUAAAAUUAAAUCAAUUUUCAUAUUUUGUAUAUUUUAUCUAUUUGAGAUAGUAAAAUCUCUUGUGUUAGAGAAAAAAAAAAAAAAAAGGGUAUGAUGUGCAUCAAUUAUACAUUUCAUUUACACAUCGAUAACGUUGUUAUCAAUAAUAAAAAAUUUAUCAUAAACUAAUUCUAUCAUAACAAGAUUAUGUGUGGUUGCUAUUUAUUAAAUCUUAUCGUUUCGUAUUUAAACGGUGCAUUUAUCAAUGUAACAAUAGUUAGUCAAGGCACGAGUUUCGUAUUCCAAUUCUAUCCCCAUUCUAGAAUUGAACCAGUCCUAGUCAUUAGUCAAAGUCUGUUGAGUAACCUUGUGAUGUUGUAUCGAGUCUUGAUUACUUUUCUUGCAGCAUGGCAAGGAAAUUUUUUCACACCAAUUAAUAAAAUCAGUCGGCCGUUUCCCCGUCAAUUCAUAACAAGUUAAAUAGGUAAACAAUGUGACUGGGUACCAGCUGCUCGGAAAUUUCUAAAGAAAUUUUUUUUUUAAAACUCUUUAUUCUGCUGCCAAAAGUCUACGGUCAAGAAUCCAUCACUUUCCUCAACUGCCCGACAUUAGAUAGCAAUGAAUAUAGACCCAUUAGGUGGCUGGAGCCCGUUAGCUUAAGAAAAUUAAAUUUCAUGAUUUUUUUUUUCUUUUAGUUAAGAAUAAAGUUUUCAAAUAUCUUCCUAAACAAGAGAACGUAUGAAACUCAAUAUGAAAAGAGUAAUUUAUCAUUGAAAUUAGAGUUAGAUAUUUAUUAUUUAAUACAUUUUUUUUUUGUUUUAUUCCUUGACAUGCACCAACAAUUUACAUAAACUUAUACACUAAAUUUAAAAUUUAGCUCGGCCUAAUGAAAGAUCCGGAGCCUACCCCUGGAAUAUUGAUAUUUAUAGUAGAAAAAAAAGUCUAUGCCCCGAUCAUUUUAUAUUGCUACAACGACUUGUUCACGGAGGGUAGAUGAGGGAAAUGAUUAUUUGAGCCGCCGGUGCCAUAUACCAGUCAAUUUAUGCUGUUGUAUGCAAGAUAUAAAUAAAUGGUUACGUGGGUCACUAAUGGAUCAAGUCAUAGUAGGAGCAAUUGCUCUGUCAAAUUAAUUAGUACCCAUUUCUCCGUGCUUGAACUUCUCUUUGUUGAGUUCAACAAUAGAGAGAAAAAAGCACUCCUCGGUUUUGGUUGGUUUCAGCAGCUCUGAGCAUCUUGAGUUGCCAUGGAGGGCACCCACGAUAUUUUCAUGGCUAGUACUAGCUUGCGUCGGAGCGCUUCUAGAUGGAACACAAAUUCCAUCGGUGCAUUUUCGAGGUCUUCCAGGGAAGAAGACGAUGAGGAGGCUCUAAAAUGGGCUGCUCUCGAGAAAUUGCCUACCUAUAACCGUUUGAGGAAGGGGAUAUUAACUACCUCACGAGGUGAAGCUAAUGAAGUUGAUGUUUACAACCUUGGGCUGCAAGAAAGGCAGAGGUUGAUUGAUAAAUUGGUUAAAGUUACUGAUGUUGAUAACGAGAGGUUCUUGUUGAAGCUCAAGAACCGUAUUGAUAGGUAAAAAACUUUCAGUUCUUCAGCAGCUGUAACUGAUAUUCAUAUAACUAUUUCAUGCUGUCAGUAAUGUUCUGUUUCCACCUUAAACAAAUAGAAAAGUUACAUAAUCCGUAAGCUAAUCUUGAAUUGCCUUUGUUUUAAACAAAUAUUAAGUUUGAAUUGAUUUCUCUCAUAUUGGAUUGUAAAGGAGCAAUCUACAGUUUUAUGGACUAAUCUUUUGGAUAAAAACUCGGUGUCAGAGCAGACCUUUUUCGAGAGAGUGUGUGUGUGUUUGUCAGAGUUCUUUUUUUUCAUGUGUAUGUUGUGUCCACCAUUUUUUUUUUUUCAAGAGCGUGUUGUAUUUUGGUCAUGAUUCUGAUUUUUUUCUUUGAUUUUUGGCAGAGUUGGAAUAGACCUUCCAAAAGUCGAAGUACGAUAUGAACAUUUGAAUGUUGAAGCAGAAGCAUUUUUAGCAAGUAAUGCCUUGCCAUCGUUCAUUAAAUUCUAUACCAACAUCUUUGAGGUACCAAUCUUCAAAUGCAAAAAUUAUUAUUUUUUUAAUCAUCUUUUGUUAAUUUCUCAGCUCAAAUUCAAAUAAUCUGUAUUUGUUUGCAGGAUCUCUUGAACUAUCUCCGCAUUAUUCCAAGUAAAAAGAGACACUUGACAAUCCUGAAGGAUGUCAGUGGAGUCAUAAAGCCGGGAAGGUGAAAAUUAAAUACCUAUUGUUUCUUAAUUUACUUGUUUUUCUAUGAAUAUGUUGGUAGUGAUCACAAAUUGAGCCCAUCUCUUUUCUCGCAGAUUGACAUUGCUUCUGGGUCCCCCAAGUUCUGGAAAGACCACACUAUUGUUGGCUUUGGCCGGGAAGCUUGAUCCUACUCUGAAGGUGAUUAUAUAGUUAAAAGCUCUAAUUAUUUAGGAGGGGUUUGGCUUUUACCUUUGCUUUUCGAUCUUUGAUUUUCUCCCUAAUUUGAGAAUCAAAACAUCUCUCUGUAGGUUUCUGGUAGGGUUGCAUACAACGGUCACGAUAUGGAUGAAUUUGUGCCUCAGAGAACAGCUGCUUAUAUCAGUCAACACGAUAAUCAUAUAGGUGAAAUGACUGUGAGAGAAACUUUGGCCUUCUCUGCUAGAUGCCAGGGGGUUGGAACCCGUUAUGGUAGGUGUAUAUAUAUAUAUAUUUUUUUUUAAUUUCUUCCUUCAAGUAAAGAACUCAGAUUAAAGGUUUCUGCCUUUUGGGAAGUGCAGAAAUGUUAACUGAGUUGGCAAGAAGAGAGAAGGCAGCAGGUAUUAAGCCUGAUCCGGAUAUUGAUGUCUACAUGAAGGUGAGAGAAGCUGAAGUUUGUUUAAACUUUAAAACAUGUUUAGCAUUUAGCCAAUUUGAUUCCAGAAAAGAGAAAAAAAAAAAUCAUUGGAUGUAAAAUCUGAUGAAUUAUGAGUUUCAGUUUUAAGCCUGGCUUCACUCAAGUGCUCCUAUGUCUCAAAAUCCUAGUACAUGAACUUUGAGAUUCAAUUCUUUAUAUCAUUUUGUUGAAUUACAUAUAUUUUAAGCUUGGCAUUUUACCUUUCACCUCACGAGAAAAUAGAUUUAGAUCGGAAACAACCUUAUGGAGAUUGAUUUGAACUCUUGGUGAUUGAGUUUCUUGUAUUUCUCUGUCAAUUCUCGUCUCAGGCUAUAGCAACUGAAGGCCAAGAAGCCAAUGUGAUCACUGAUUAUUAUCUUAAGGUAACAUAUUUAUGAAUCACUCUAAAAUUGCGAAUUAUGAUCAAGAACAAGUAAAUAAUGUCACGUGUUUGAAUGCUUCUCCUUAUGAACAUAUAGGUUCUGGGACUGGAUGUCUGUGCAGACACCAUGGUAGGUGAUGAAAUGAUAAGAGGUAUAUCAGGAGGACAGAAGAAGCGUGUUACGACUGGUAAAUACCAAACUCCAUAAAUUCAUUUUGAUUGUGGUCAGAUACAAAACAGUUAUCUCUUUUCAUUCAAACAUAUGAUAAAUCGUAAAUUAAAUUAUAGGUGAAAUGAUGGUUGGACCAGCAUUGGCACUAUUUAUGGAUGAGAUUUCUACUGGUUUGGACAGCUCGACAACUUUCCAAAUUGUUAAUUGUCUCAGGCAAAAUAUUCACAUCAAUAGUGGAACUGCUGUGAUAUCUCUCCUACAGCCAGCACCAGAAACUUAUGAUCUAUUUGAUGACAUUAUCCUUCUAUCCGAUGGCCAGAUUGUAUACCAGGGUCCUCGCGAACUGGUACUAGAGUUUUUUGCAUCCAUGGGCUUUAGAUGCCCCAAAAGGAAAGGCGUGGCUGACUUCUUGCAAGAAGUAUGCGGUGAUAGAGCUCUAUAUUUGAUGUUUCAGUUUCUAAAUAUUUAUAGAUAAUACAGAAGCUUAUAACAUUCUAAAACUAUAACGAGCCUCACACAUUACUAUUUCUAUUCAAUCUUUACAAAUAAUGUGUUCCAGGUAACAUCAAGGAAAGAUCAAAGGCAGUAUUGGGCACAUAAAGAGAAGCCUUACAGGUUUGUUACAGUCCAGGAAUUUGCUGAGGCAUUCCAAUCAUUCCAUGUGGGACAGAAAAUUUCUGAUGAGCUUCGGACUCCAUUUGAUAAGAGCAAGAGCCAUCGAGCUGCUUUGACCACAGAAACAUAUGGUGUUGGCAAGAGAGAGUUGUUGAAAGCUAACAUCUCAAGAGAACUUUUGCUGAUGAAGAGGAACUCAUUUGUCUACAUCUUCAAACUCAUUCAAGUGAGUACCAACAUAGUUUUGAAUUGUUUUAAUUGUUGCUUCAUGUGAUAACUAUUUAUUGAUUGGUUUUUCCCCCUGGCUUUAGAUUGCAUUUGUUGCAGUGGUCUACAUGACACUCUUCUUGAGAACAAAAAUGCACAAAGAUACAGUAACUGAUGGUGGAAUUUUUGCUGGUGCCACGUUCUUCGCCAUCACAAUGGUCAAUUUCAAUGGAUUUUCGGAGAUUUCUAUGACCAUAGCAAAGCUUCCUGUCUUCUACAAGCAAAGAGACUUCCGGUUCUUUCCUCCGUGGGCAUAUGCUAUUCCCUCAUGGAUUCUAAAGAUCCCUGUCUCGUUCCUGGAGGUUGCUGUUUGGGUUUUCCUAUCAUAUUAUGUUGUUGGGUAUGAUUCCAAUGCUGGAAGGUAAUCACAGAGAAAAUGAACCAAAUUUUUUAGUAACCAGUAAAGUUUUAGUUCCAUGAUCUCUUUAUCAAGGUAGUUUAUGUGAUGGUUUUCAUGUUGCAGGUUUUUUAAGCAGUACGCGCUGCUCUUGGGUGUUAACCAGAUGGCUUCUGCAUUGUUCCGAUUCAUUGCAGUAACCGGCAGAAACAUGGUUGUUGCUAACACAUUUGGUUCAUUUGCAUUACUUGUACUUUUGUCAUUGGGUGGAUUUAUCCUUUCGCGAGGUACAGAAAAUAUGCAAGUAAACCAGAUUAAAUUAGCUUCCUUAGAAAAAUUUAUCUUUAAUACUUCCAUUUCAUUUUUUCAUAAUGCAGAGGACAUAAAAAAAUGGUGGAAAUGGGCUUACUGGUGUUCUCCUUUGACAUACGCACAGAAUGCAAUAGUGGCAAAUGAAUUUUUGGGGCAUAGUUGGAAAAAGGUAAUUCUUGAUCUUUUUCCUUGAUUGUGUAUUUAGCUGUUAGUAACAUUACUGAUGCUGGUAACUUUUUCAUAUCACAGUUUACUCAAGACUCAAGUGAAACGCUUGGGGUGCAAGUUUUGAAGUCCCGUGGGUUCUUCGCACAUGAAUAUUGGUAUUGGCUUGGAUUGGGGGCUUUGUUUGGCUUCGUACUGCUUUUGAACUUCGCUUACACAUUGGCUCUUACUUUUCUUGAUCGUGGGUUGCUCCUACCUUCUUCACUUUCUUAAAUUACUUCUAUAGCAGUGAGUUUCUGUUCUAAUUUCCUCCAAAAUUUUUUUACAGCAUUUGAGAAGCCUCGGGCUGUCAUAACGGAGGAAAUUGAAAGUAAUGAGCAAGAUGAUAGAAUUGGAGGAAAUGUUCAGUUAUCAACCCUUGGAGGUAGUUCUAACCACAACACUCGCUCAGGUGAUAAAAGUAUUUUGAUAUAUUUGAGGAAAAAAAUGAGAUACUUUUGUAAAUGCCUUCUGAAGCUAAUAAAUUAUGUUUAAAAUGCAGGGAGUACAGAUGACAUUAGGGGACAACAGUCCUCUUCCCAAUCCUUAUCACUGGCAGAAGCGGAGGCCAGUCGUCCGAAGAAAAAAGGAAUGGUUCUUCCAUUUGAACCUCAUUCCCUUACCUUUGAUGAGGUUGUAUACUCUGUUGACAUGCCAGAGGUAACAUUAAUUUGAAAACCAUUUAAGAUGUUUAGAGGUUUUGUUGAUUUCUUGAUUCAAUACUAUGUAAUCGAGCAUGAUGACCAAUUGAUUUGUUUAACUUUACAGGAAAUGAAAGUUCAAGGUGUUCUUGAAGAUAAAUUAGUGCUUUUGAAUGGCGUGAGCGGUGCUUUCCGGCCAGGUGUUCUUACAGCUUUAAUGGGUGUCAGUGGCGCUGGUAAAACCACUUUGAUGGAUGUCUUGGCUGGCAGGAAAACUGGUGGAUAUAUUACUGGUAACAUAACAAUAUCUGGUUACCCGAAGAAGCAAGAAACAUUUGCUCGCAUUUCAGGAUACUGUGAGCAAAAUGACAUCCACUCUCCUUUUGUUACCAUCUAUGAGUCCUUGCUCUUUUCGGCCUGGCUCCGUUUAUCACCUGAAGUUGAUUCCAAAACCAGAAAGGUAGGCACUAAAGUCACCUAGAGUGUUAGGUCAUUAAGGGCUAAAACUAGUUAAACUGAGUCAACAGGCAGGGAAACAGUUAGAUUCCCUAAAUACAUUAUUGGACAUAAUUCAUACUGAUUUAGAGUUUUACCCUUGAUUUACAGAUGUUUAUUGACGAAGUAAUGGAGCUUGUGGAGCUGAAUCCGUUGAGACAAUCACUGGUUGGUUUGCCUGGUGUAAGUGGUCUUUCAACAGAGCAGCGUAAGAGGCUUACCAUUGCGGUUGAGCUUGUGGCUAACCCAUCCAUCAUAUUUAUGGAUGAGCCAACCUCAGGACUAGAUGCAAGAGCCGCUGCAAUUGUUAUGAGAACUGUUAGAAACACAGUGGACACUGGAAGGACGGUAGUGUGCACGAUUCAUCAACCAAGCAUUGACAUAUUUGAAGCUUUUGAUGAGGUAAGAAAUGU